rnacentral:rRNA from 1 species
GGGCCCGCACAAGCGGUGGAGCAUGUGGUUUAAUUCGAUGAUACGCGAGGAACCUUACCAGGGCUUAAAUGUAGUCUGACAGAUUUGGAAACAGAUUUUUCUUCGGACAGAUUACAAGGUGCUGCAUGGUUGUCGUCAGCUCGUGCCGUGAGGUGUCAGGUUAAGUCCUAUAACGAGCGCAACCCCUGUUGUUAGUUGCCAGCGAGUAAUGUCGGGAACUCUAGCAAGACUGCCGGUGCAAACCGUGAGGAAGGUGGGGAUGACGUCAAAUCAUCACGGCCCUUACGUCCUGGGCCACACACGUGCUACAAUGGUAGGUACAGAGAGCAGCCACGUCGCAAGGCGGAGCGAAUCUCAAAAAGCCUAUCGUAGUCCAGAUUGGAGUCUGCAACUCGACUCCAUGAAGUAGGAAUCGCUAGUAAUCG